CCAAGGUUCCGAAUAGCGAAACUGAUACAGUAAAAUAUGAUUAAAAACGAUAGUCAGGCCUGCAUCAACUCCGCACUUUCUUUAUGACCAUCUAUAAAUGAAUAUACUUGCCAACCCAUACUUCAAGAAUUAACAAUUUAACUGUCCCCAUAAUUUUAUCGCGUCCCGCCAAGGCUCAUAACAUGCGCUAUUACGAAAUUCUGAAAACAACGGCAGUGCUACACCUAGCAAGGUAAACGGUGUAAUAGUAUAUGUCGGAUAAAUAUUGGACAUUUAAAAUGUGCGAUUUAAACAAGGUGCUGAGUAAUGUAAUAAACAAGAUCGGUGGAAAUAUUAGCGGAAUAACUGAACCUUAAGAAUAAAAACUUAAAUACACUUGGAUUAUUACAAAAUAUAAUAAUUAUAUCUCGGAUUAAAAACUUAAGCUUCAUUAAAACACAUU
rnacentral:misc_RNA from 1 species